AUACAAACCAAUCCAGACACACAGGGACUAACAAGGAUAUGAACACCAGCAGAUGAAGAUCAUCAGUACCAUCUUGGAGGCUGGCUACCACAACACAACCCAGUGAUUCCAUGGAAAGCAGAAAGAAGGACAUAAAGAAACGGAUACUUGGUGACAUCUUUGACUCACUGGAUCAAACCUUGCCUGAAGCUCACAUUUCUGAAAUUUCCAGAUACAAGAACAAAUACUUCCUCUUUAUUGUUUUACUAGAUUUGAGACAAGCUUUAAGUUUCUCAGACUCUUCCUCUUCCUAACAGAUUUAUCAGAAGCUGAAAGCUCUGAUCUUGUUGGGAUGCGGAUCGUGUCAGGAGAAGGCUUACUUUGCACGCUUUUCUUAGUCUGGUUGCCUAACUCAAGAACCUCGGCAUGGCUCUGUUACUUCUCUACUCAGACAAGCAUCCCUGCAGACACUCACUAGGCUAACUCUGUCUUUAUUUUUAGAAUUAGACCUUUACGAGAAGCACAGUUUUGUCUUCAGUUUCCUCUCCCCCCACCCGGAAUGGCCUGAGCCGAAGCCAGCUCCCUCCGAGAAGUCAUUACCGCCUGACUUGCGUUUGAUAUUUAGACACCUUGGUCACAACAUCUUGCAUUCUCUCGGGAUGCUGAUUUCUAACUGCUCUUUGGCCUUUCCUGCAUUGGUCCUCCUCAGGCAGGGGAUCCCUGCUCUUCUAUAUUAGUGAGAAAACCAAGGCUCAGAGAAACUGUGGAUUUUCUAAGGAUGCUGGCUCCCCGUCCCCUGUCCACCAUGAGUCAAAGCAAUGUGAGUCCCUCACCAGAUGCAACUGCCCAGUCUUGGACUUUCCAGUGACCAGAAUCAUGAGCCAAAUAAAC
rnacentral:lncRNA from 1 species